rnacentral:sRNA from 1 species
AGGUGUCCCCUUCCUCCCUUACUGCUCCAUGUGUGUUCCUACUGAGGCUGUGAGCUCAGUCAAAGAGGAUGACCUUCCCUUAAUAGAGGAGGACUGUUUUUUUCUCCCAGGUAUAAGAGUAGCUGUGCUCUCCUGCUAGAACCUCCAAACAAGCUCAGGGUCAGGGAAUCUUAUAAAAGAAGGGAAAGAUAGUAAGACCUGGAGGAGACUAGAGCUCCACAAGGAGAACAACAGAACCAAAAAAUCUGGGCACAGGGGUCUUUU